rnacentral:rRNA from 1 species
UAAAAUAGGCCUCAUCGUCGUAGGAAGACCCGCUGAACUUAAGCAUAUCAAUAAGCGGAGGAAAAGAAACCAACAGGGAUUGCCUCAGUAACGGCGAGCGAAGCGGCAAUAGCUCCAAUUUGAAAGGCUUCGGCCAUUGUAAUUCGCAGAAGGAUCUCGAUAACGAAGGAAAAGUCUCUUGGAACAGAGCGCCAUAGAGGGUGACAGCCCCGUAACCCCCUUCAUCAUCAUGGAUCCUAUCGAAGAGUCGAGUAGUUUGGGAAUGCUGCUCUAAUGGGAGGUAAUCC